UACGAAGGUCCCAAGCGUUGUUCGGAAUCACUGGGCGUAAAGGGAGCGUAGGCGGCGCGGUAAGUCAGAUGUGAAAUCCCGGGGCUCAACCCCCGGAACUGCAUCCGAUACUGCCGUGCUUGAGGGUUGGAGAGGUAGCUGGAAUUAUCGGUGUAGCAGUGAAAUGCGUGGAUAUCGAUAGGAACACUCGUGGCGAAGGCGAGCUACUGGACAACAUCUGACGCUGAGGCUCGAAGGCUAGGGAGCAAAGGG
rnacentral:rRNA from 1 species